rnacentral:rRNA from 1 species
GUUUUUCGCUCUAAGAUUCUUCCGCGUAAGAUUAGCUAGUUGGUGAGGUAACGGCUCACCAAGGCGACGAUCUUUAACUGGUCUGAGAGGAUGAUCAGUCACACUGGAACUGAGACACGGUCCAGACUCCUACGGGAGGCAGCAGUAGGGAAUAUUGCACAAUGGAGGAAACUCUGAUGCAGCGACGCCGCGUGAGUGAUGAAGGCCUUCGGGUCGUAAAGCUCUGUCGCAGGGGAAUAACACAAUG